rnacentral:pre_miRNA from 9 species
UCUCGAUAGCGUAAAAGUUAACUCAUAUUUGUAUGGAAUGGGAUCGUUUGCCUACGUUUGCCGCUAGGGGCUUUGUUCCAAUUGCAUACAAAACUGGCUUAACUUUUACGUUAUCGA